rnacentral:rRNA from 1 species
GAUGAACGCUGGCGGCGUGCUUAACACAUGCAAGUCGAACGAAGCACUUUAUUUGAUUUCCUUCGGGACUGAUUAUUUUGUGACUGAGUGGCGGACGGGUGAGUAACGCGUGGGUAACCUGCCUUGUACAGGGGGAUAACAGUUGGAAACGGCUGCUAAUACCGCAUAAGCGCACAGCAUCGCAUGAUGCAGUGUGAAAAACUCCGGUGGUAUAAGAUGGACCCGCGUUGGAUUAGCUAGUUGGUGAGGUAACGGCCCACCAAGGCGACGAUCCAUAGCCGAGCUGAGAGGGUGACCGGCCACAUUGGGACUGAGACACGGCCCAAACUCCUACGGGAGGGAGCAGUGGGGAAUAUAGCACAAUGGGCGAAAGCCUGACGCAGCGACGCCGCGUGAGCGAAGAAGUAUGUCGGUAUGUAAAGCUCUAUCAGCAGGGAAGAUAAUGACGGUACCUGACUAAGAAGCACCGGCUAAAUACGUG